UACAGGGGGUGCAAACGUUGCUCGGAAUUAUUGGGCGUAAAGCGCGCGUAGGCGGCUACUUAAGUCGGAUGUGAAAGCCCUUGGCUCAACUGAGGAAGUGCGCCCGAAACUGCAGAGCUUGAGUACCGGAGAGGAUGGCGGAAUUCCCCAAGUAGAGGUGAAAUUCGUAGAUAUGGGGAGGAACACCGGUGGCGAAGGCGGCCAUCUGGACGGAUACUGACGCUGAGACGCGAAAGCGUGGGGAGCAAACAGG
rnacentral:rRNA from 1 species